rnacentral:rRNA from 1 species
AUUGAACGCUGGCGGCAGGCUUAACACAUGCAAGUCGAGCGGAGCGAGGGUGCUUGCACCUUAGCUUAGCGGCGGACGGGUGAGUAAUGCUUAGGAAUCUACCUAUUAGUGGGGGACAACAUUCCGAAAGGAAUGCUAAUACCGCAUACGCCCUACGGGGGAAAGCAGGGGAUCUUCGGACCUGGCGCUAAUAGAUGAGCCUAAGUCGGAUUAGCUAGUUGGUGGGGUAAAGGUCUACCAAGGCGACGAUCUGUAGCGGGUCUGAGAGGAUGAUCCGCCACACUGGGACUGAGACACGGCCCAGACUCCUACGGGAGGCAGCAGUGGGGAAUAUUGGACAAUGGGCGGAAGCCUGAUCCAGCCAUGCCGCGUGUGUGAAGAAGGCCUUUUGGUUGUAAAGCACUUUAAGCGAGGAGGAGGCUACUUAGAUUAAUACUCUAGGAUAGUGGACGUUACUCGCAGAAUAAGCACCGGCUAACUCUGUGCCAGCCGCCGCCGUAAGAC